UGGAGGUAGGGCUGGGGGUCAGGGGAUGGGUGACAAGAAAAUCAUUCAGAUAGAACCAAAGAGAGCAUUUGCCACGGAGAGCAGCAAAUAAAGUGUGAGCGUGUGUGUGUGUGCGUGCGCGCGUGUGCAUAGGAGUGAGGGGAACGGGACAGGAGAUGCUUGGAACACAGCUGUGAAAUGAGACUCAAAGUGAUACUCAUGGUCACAGAUCUGUAGCUAUAACAGCCUGCAGUGUCUAUGCUCCCUAAUUCGACCCUGAGGUGACUCCACAGGGAGGCAAAUGUGUCUGAAUAUUCCUUUUCUCUCGUGCUGUUUUUGAAACUGCAUCCUCUAGAAACAAGCCCCUCCAGAGGCUCUUGGAAGAGGAUUCUGUGGUCACAUAAAUGUGGGAGCCUACUCCUGUAUCCCCCCUGAGCAUUCACAAGGCAUUAGCACGGGAAAGGCCCUGAGAAGUCCUGCAGUUAAGAAGUCCUUGUAACUUUGUUUAGGCCAGGGUUUCCCUGAUCAGGGAACCCUUUUCACAUGUUACACCCAUCUACAUCCCAUAGUUCCAGGAAACGCUUUGGGAGCCUACCCCUCCACCAAAACGACUGGGACACAGUUCAUGUCAUUGUGAUUGAGUGGAUGUUUUCAAACUUAAAACUGAAAAAUUAGUUCAACUCUGUAUUAGUUUCCUAGGGCUGCUGUAACCAAUUUAUUUUUUGCAAAUGGUUUCAGGUAGGCAUCCACUGGUACUUUCUUCCAGAAGGAGCCACGUGGGCUAUAGCACCAUUUGUAAAUAAACUGUCCUUUCCAAUUGAUUUGCUUUUCUCCAAGGAGGAUAAAGUGUCAUGGAGGAGGUGGGAUUUCAGGAGCUGCAGGAAUAUGGGGGUGAGGGACUCUGGUGAGGGGGUGUCCUAUGGAAGAAGGGAAGGGAGCUAGAGACAGGUGUCUGAAUGAGGAGAAGGGCCAGGUGCUAUGGGCUCAGAGGGCCAAGCGACACCAGGUUAGCACUUAGAGGACAGGGCACCCCUUCCCUUCCAGCGGGGGUGGGGCCAGAACUCCUGGAACACGGAACCCCUGGACAGAGUGUGCCUGUGUCUACGGGGUGUGGUCCCAAGUGAUGGUCACUGGAGAUCUGGGGUGUUGACAGGAAAGCAGAGCACAGGGCCUGGGAAUGGGGGACGGGAGCCCAGGGGGAUAGCCCAGGCUAGAAAACUGAGCAGGAGCCCUGUCCCCCUGAUGUGGUUGGCAGAUGUGUCCGCCUCCCUGGGCACUCACUUUUCCAUGAACACUGAUCAGUCCUGAAGGCACCUGCUUCUUGGCCUGAGUGUGUGCUCGCAAUGUGUGUGGGCAGCCAGAAAUGCUAAUUAACUUGUGUCUCCAGGAGCAUCCCUAACCCAGGGCAGAUGAGAUUUGGUCCGUGCUCUCUCAGACCAGGCCUCCACUUACAUCUGCUGCCAAAUGCUAGAGCAGACACCAGACCUGUGUUCUCUGUCGCUCCUGGAAGGACGGCUAUGGCUUCUUUUCAAGGGCCUUGAGUCUCAAGGGCAUCCUGUAUGUGUGCCAGUUCACGGAACCAUUGUGCUCCAGCUCUCCAUCCUGGCAAGCAGUUUGUUAAAGACUAGCGGUGCGGCUAAUCGCCAGUGCAUAAUGCCCACACAUACACGUUUUUCCUUUUUAUAUAACACAUUAUGCUAAUCACCCUGUAUUCCAUUUUUCAAUAAAAGGUCAGCGGAGCACUGUUUGUUCAGAAUGUGCAAUUUAAACUUCAUGUCUGUCAUUAGAGAUAAUCUAGGUUUGCUGUAUCAAGUGGGGUUGUCAUAGAAACCAGACCCGUAAGCUCUGUUUAUGGCCUUUGGAGAAUAAACACUUUGCAUUUAUUUCUCUGGCAAGGAAAAAAAAAAAGUCAGAAAUCAUCGAACAAUUAAGUAAGGUUUGAAAACAAAGGGGUAAUAGCCCAGAAGAGAGAGCUAUGUCAUUCAUCAAAAAUCAAUAAUUGUCACACAGUCGGUAUACCCAGGCAUUCAAGCAGGUGACUGACAGAAGUGGUCAAGUAUUUCCCCUGGGACGAACAAGUAAGGGAGAGUGGAUGUGUUACUAUGCCGAGUACAGAAUUAAUUUAAGUGUGCUAAUGGGUUUUAUCCAGGCUAUUAUACCCUUGAAAACCAUUGCGUGUAAGUUGCAUUGAGUGUCUGAUCAGGUUUUUUUUUCCAUGUAUUUGGUCAUUUGUGAACUCCAAAUAGCUGAGAUGAUUUCAUAUUGUUUCUCUGAUCUUCCUAUCAUUUAGAAGGACCUUCUCCGGAAGCAGUUCAGGGAUCCCGAGCCUUAGAUUUUUUUAGAUCCUGCCUGGGAAGUAUCAUUUUUAUUAAGUAAAAGGACAACCUAGUUCAAUUUGAACACAUUUUUUUAGUAUAUCUCCAAUAUUGCAUGGCUACACUUCCAUUAAAAUUAUUUGUUGGUUAUCUGAAAUUCAACUUUAACUGUAUGUCCUGUAUUAUAUCUGUUACUUUGUGUUUGAGGGGUCCAAGGAGAUGAAGAGGUAAUUCUCUGAACUCUCCUAGCAGCCUGAGGCCUGUGCUUCCUUUAACAGGGGAAUGAGAAGUGUGUGCACAGGAUGUGUGUGCAUGACUAAUCCUGUUAAAUUACAGUGUAAUUGUGGCUCUAAUUUGCUGGAGGCGCCAGCAAAGUCAAAUUAAAAAAAAGUCACCUGCUUGCAAAUGACCAAACAUACACUUGGCAUAGCCACUCUGUAAGGGGAAAAUUUCUGUUUUAAAAAAAAA